rnacentral:rRNA from 1 species
UACGUAGGGGGCAAGCGUUGUCCGGAAUUAUUGGGCGUAAAGAGCUCGUAGGCGGUUUGUCGCGUCUGCUGUGAAAACCCGAGGCUCAACCUCGGGCCUGCAGUGGGUACGGGCAGACUAGAGUCCGGAAGAGGAGAGUGGAAUUCCUGGUGUAGCGGUGAAAUGCGUAGAUAUCAGGAGGAACACCAGCGGCGAAGGCGGCGCUCUGGGCCGGUACUGACACUGAGGAGCGAAAGUGUGGGGAGCGAACAGG